AACGGUCUAUACCUGCGGUACCUGCGGAGGGAUCAUUAAUGAGAAACUGCCCCUCGCGGGUAGAUCUCCCACCCUUUGUAAACUUACCUUUGUUGCUUUGGCAGGCCCGUCUCCGGACCGCCGGCUUCGGCUGGCCAGUGCCUGCCAGAGGAUUCUAAAACUCUGUCUGUCAGUGUUGUCUGAGUCUAUAUACAAUCGUUAAAACUUUCAACAAUGGAUCUCUAGAUCGGAAGAGCACAC
rnacentral:misc_RNA from 1 species